CGGGGAGGUAGCGGUCUGUUUUUUAAGAGGAAAUCUUUGCGACCAGUAGGUCCAAGCUGGCUCAAAGAAGUUGCUUGCACAGGGGAAUCGAGGGUGGACUAGCUGUGUGGGUGUGGCUUAAUUCUGCUGUUUCUCUUUUGGAUGAGACCUUACACUUUUUGCUUUGCCUUCGUUAACGCUCGGUUCCUCCCACAUCUUUGGCUUCUCUCUGUGAAAUCCCUGCCACCUACAGAUUCCUUUUAUUAUCCCAUACUGGCUGCGACUAGUCUUAAAUACCCUGUUUCCGCUCUCUUUCUCACACGCAGUUCCUGGAAUCUACAUCCCUCUCUCCCUCGUUUGAUUAGCAGAACAUUUCCAGGGUAUCACAGUAUACUGAAAUAUUACAAGAGAGGUCCGUAAAUGCUGAACAUCCUCCUAUCUGGAAAAAGUUUAGCAACAGGAAGACAGUGAAAGAUAAAGAUGGCCACUCACCAAGAAGGGUGUGUCAGUGCUUUCCCCUAAGAUGUGAUUGUCCCAUAGAAGCGUUCCCCAGGGGAGUGGGUCUGUGCAGGCAGUUAAGUGGGAAGAGCUUCACUUAGUGUGCUGUCCUUCCUCAGCUUCAAGAGAAUCCACUUGAAGGAGAAGUCCCAUAUAUUAUGCCCAAUGUUUUGAAGCUUCUUUCAGUGCCUUCAUUUCAUCCAGCACCAAAAUCCUCAAUGGUGAAGAAAUCUAUAAAUGUACUGAAUCUGAGAAAAAGUUGGCACAGCUACACCUUCAUGCAGCACUGGAGAAACCUAUACAUUUAAAGAAGGACAGUUUUCAUUUGACUCUCAGAGCUGAUUGUAUAUUGGUGAAGACAUAUUUUUCUGCCAUUGCUUAGGGAUAAGACAAUGUAACAGAAACAUCAAAUAAAAUAUUGAAGAGAAAAAAGUACUUUUUUUUUAGGCCUUCUAGAAAGGGUAAUUGAGCAUGCUCCACAGACUUCAGCUAGUUUAUGAGAAAAAAAAAAAGGAGCCAACUUGAGUAAUGGACUCUAGGUGACAGUUCUGUUUGAGCUGAUGAAAUUGGCCAGCCAUGAAUACUGUCAGUAUCUCCCCUUACAAUUCUCUUGCCAUUUUGUUUUUACCCAAUCUUCACUAUUUGGCCUAAACAUCACCUCUGUCAGUCUCAGAGUUACACUCUCCCUCCUGUAUUCUCAAAUUUUCACAUAGUUGUAUGUGUGAUUAUAACAUUAUGGUCUCAGCUGGUUUCAACCUCUGGUCCAUUUACUCACCUCUUUUUAUCAUUUCCUUUUGUCUGGACCAUAAAUGAAAGUAAAAAAAGACAUUAGGUGAGGAGAAAAGGAGAUUUGUUCAUCAUGGCUUUCACCUUGGCAUUUGCCUUGACUUCUGACCUUCUUUACUCUGGGAUGCUUUUCUUGACCCCUCACAUCCCAGGGUGAGUCAAGGGGCCUUUCCUCAAGCUUGUUGGCCCCAACUUUAGUACUUAAUUAUGAUGUCAGGUUUAGGUGUAUAUCUACCUUACUAGUUGUGAGCUCCAUGCAGACAUAGAACACGUCCUGUUCAGCAUUGUGUUCCUAGUUCCUGGCGUACAGUCGGUGCUCAGUAAAUACUUGUUGAAAGAAUAGAUGAGUGAAUGCAAAGCUCUUGUUUUUGCUAAACCCUUUUCAACUUUCUUGCUUCCCUCUUCCCUAUCGUUUUCCCACAGCUCUGAGCUUCCCAUCCCCCAUUACUCCCCAUCAUUUUCCCACAGCUCUGAGCUUCCCGUCUCCCAUUACUCCCCAUCAUUUUCCCACAACUCUGAGCUUCCCGUCCGCCAUUACUCCCCAUCAUUUUCCCACGGAUCUGAGCUUCUCCCCCACCAUUAAUGUUCAUACAUGUUGCCUAGUUAAACCCAGCCUGCUUGUCCCUGGCUACAUGGAAAGGUACUGGAUGUGGGUGAUUGCUGUUAAUAUCUAAAUCUGUCGGAAGUGUCUGGAUGUAUUUUUUUCCAGCCUUAAGUUUAUUUUAUGAAAUUAAAAUAAAUAUGAAGACUCUAUGGGUCUUGACCUAGUGUCAUUUGAAGAUGGAAUUUCUCUGGUAGAUUAGUUUCUUGCUUGUUGCUCUCUUGAACUGUAGGCCGUUUUUGUAAGAAUGAUCAACUCUGAGUCAUCUUUACAUCCUGUGAAGAGAAUAGACUUGCGAAGAGGCUCAUCUUUCUUUAGUUUGGGAUCAGUGUUUUCAUUUGAUUAUAUUUAAUGUUGGGAAUUCAUACUACUUCCUAGCAUAUCAUAACAGUGUGAAGUCCCCAUUUAGGAGGCACUGGAAAUCUUCCACAUUUCACUGCCUGUUCAAUUUCUGCCAUCCUUUCAGCUGUAUUAAUUAUGACAUGUCUUCCUGGAUAGAUGUAGGUGCCCUGGAGCAAGACACACCAAAAACAAAACAAAACAAAACAAAACAAAAACAAAAACCACUCCUUGUUCAUCUGCCU
rnacentral:lncRNA from 1 species